GAUGAAGAACGCAGCGAAAUGCGAUAAGUAAUGUGAAUUGCAGAAUUCAGUGAAUCAUCGAAUCUUUGAACGCACAUUGCGCCCCCUGGUAUUCCGGGGGGCAUGCCUGUUCGAGCGUCAUUUCACCACUCAAGCCUCGCUUGGUAUUGGGCAACGCGGUCCGCCGCGUGCCUCAAAUCGACCGGCUGGGUCUUCUGUCCCCUAAGCGUUGUGGAAACUUUCGCUAAAGGGUGUUCGGGAGGCUACGCCGUAAAACAACCCCAUUUCUACGGUUGACCUCGGAUCAGGUAGGGAUACCCGCUGAACUUAAGCAUAUCAAUAAGCGGAGGA
rnacentral:misc_RNA from 1 species